rnacentral:rRNA from 1 species
ACUGCUCAGUAACACGUGGACAACCUGCCCUUAGGACGGGGAUAAACCCGGGAAACUGGGUAUAAUACCCGAUAGGUCUCGAUUGCUGGAAUGCAUCGAGAUUUAAAGCUCCGGCGCCUAAGGAUGGGUCUGCGGCCUAUCAGGUAGUAGUGGGUGUAGCGUACCUACUAGCCUACGACGGGUACGGGUUGUGAGAGCAAGAGCCCGGAGAUGGAUUCUGAGACACGAAUCCAGGCCCUACGGGGUGCAGCAGGCGCGAAAACUUUACAAUGCUGGCAACAGCGAUAAGGGAACCUCGAGUGCCAGGUUACAAAUCUGGCUGUCGAGAUGCCUAAAAAGCAUUUCAUAGCAAGGGCCGGGCAAGACCGGUGCCAGCCACCGCGGUAACACCGGCGGCUCGAGUGGUAACCGUUAUUAUUGGGUCUAAAGGGUCUGUAGCCGGCCGGAUAAGUCUCUUGAGAAAUCUGGCAGCUUAACUGUCAGGCUUUCAGGAGAUACUGUCUGGCUCGAGGCCGGGAGAGGUGAGAGGUACUUCAGGGGUAGGGGUGAAAUCUUGUAAUCCUUGAAGGACCACCAGUGGCGAAGGCGUCUCACCAGAACGGACCUGACGGCAAGGGACGAAAGCUAGGGGCACGAACCGGAUUAGAUACCCGGGUAGUCCUAGCCGUAAACGAUACUCGCUAGGUGUCGGCCACGGUGCGACCGUUGUCGGUGCCGUAGGGAAGCCGUGAAGCGAGCCACCUGGGAAGUACGGCCGCAAGGCUGAAACUUAAAGGAAUUGGCGGGGGAGCAC